ACCGCUGUCCAAUAUUAGCAUAUUUUCGCUCUCAGCCACAAUAUCCUGUAAGCAAUGUGUUUUGUAGUUUUGUGAUGUAGAAGAACAUAAGAAUCUAAAUUUCCUCCCGACAUCAGAGCCACUGAGGACACAGUGCAUUAGUUUUGUUUUUAAUAGUAAUGUGCCACUGAAUACAUCUAAAUUUGUUUAUGUCUGUGCAAAUAAUUUUACUUCACUUUUACUGGUAGUCCACUGUUUGAAGAAUUUUUGGGCAUAAUUUGUCACAGUACUUUAUUUUGCUAUCCUCACUUACAUAAAUGAACUAUAGUAUGCGUCCACACGCAGCGGCUUCUCCCUGUCCCGACAGAACAGUGUUUUCGUGUUUUUUGUCUUGUGAGUCACAGUGUUUUUGUACGUCGUCAUUGCGUCUACCUGUCUUUAAGCGCGCAUACAGUCGUGAGUUUCUGCUGGAUGUCGGCAGAACCACAUUUUUAGAGUUAAACUCCGUGCACGUGGAACAGCCAAACCAGUUCAAAAACAGAUUCAAGUGUGGCCGGAAGGAACAUCAGAGGCUCUUCAAGACUGCUUUGACACAACUGACUGGAAUAUGUUUAAACAGGCUGCCACUUACAAUAACACCACUGACCUCCAGGAGUACUCAGAGACUGUCACUGCCUACAUCAACAAGUGUACUGAGGAUGUUACAGUCACAAAGACCAUCACUGUCCAGUCUAACCAGAAGCCGUGGAUGACAGGGGAGGUCUACAGACUCCUGGAGACGCGGAACACUGCAUUCAGAGCUGGAGACGAGGGGGGCCUGAGAACAGCCAGGGCCAACCUAUCCCGCGGCAUUAGAGAGGCUAAGAGACAGUACUCCAGGAGGAUAGCCCAUCGUUUCAGUGACAGCAGAGACUCUCGGAGCCUCUGGCAGGGGAUACAGACCAUUACGGACUGCAAGCCCCCACAGCGGACCUGUGACAGCAACAACUCUCUGCUGAACGAGCUGAACACCUUCUUCGCUCGCUUUGAGGAACAAAACAGCACCACUGCACAGAAGACUCCACCUCCUCCCGGUGACCAGGUGAUGACGCUGACCCCAGACAGCGUGAGGAGAUCCUUCAGCAGGAUCAAUGCACGCAAAGCUCCGGGACCUGAAAACAUUCCUGGGCGUGUACUGAGAGACUGUGCAGCAGAACUCACUGAUGUCUUCACAGACAUUUUCAACAUCUCACUUAGUCAGGCUGUUGUUCCCACAUGUUUCAAAACUACCAACAUCAUUCCAGUCCCGAAGAAGCCAUCUCCAUCAUGCUUCAAUGACUACCGUCCUGUUGCACUUACUCCCAUCCUCAUGAAGUGCUUCGAACGGCUAGUCAUGCACCACAUCAAGUCUGCCCUCCCCCCCUCCCUGGCCCACUCAAACUACAGGAGCGAGGUGAGCCGCCUGGCCGGGUGGUGCAGUGACAACAAUCUCUCUCUGAACGUGGAGAAGACGAAGGAGAUUGUUGUUGACUUCAGGAGAGCGCACACUCAGCAUGUUCCUCUGACCAUCAACGGUGCGACUGUGGAGAGAGUGAGCAGCACCAAGUUCCUGGGUGUACACAUCACAGAGGGCCUCUCCUGGACCGACAACACUGCAGCACUGGCCAAGAAAUCACAACAGCGUCUCUACUUCCUCCGCAAACUGAGGAGAGCCAGAGCCCCACCCCCCAUCAUGUACACCUUCUACAGAGGCACCAUCGAGAGCAUUCUGACCAGCUGCAUCACUGUGUGGUAUGGCGCCUGCAACGCAUCCUCCCGGAAGACUCUGCAACGCAUAGUGAGAGCAGCUGAGAAGAUCAUUGGUGUCUCUCUCCCCUCCCUCCAGGAAAUUUACGGAAUCCGUCUCACUCGCAAAGCCCUCUGCAUUGCAGGUGACCCCACUCACCCGUCACACAGCUUCUUCAAACAUUUAAACAUCGAUUAUGCUUUAAAAAGAGGGAGGAGACCAAAAGAAACUAUGGGUUUAGCGUAGAAAACCUGCU
ensembl:lncRNA